AUAAAAAUAAUAAUUUGCAAUGUUGAAAAAUAUUGCAUCAUUCGUUUUAUGUACUACGUUGAGUUAGUAGUAGAUCUAGAGCAGUUUCAGUUUGUUGUUUGCAGAGUGAACAUUAUAAUUGUUGACUUUGCGCCAGCGGUGAAAUAAGAGUAAAACUCGAGUCUCGAGACCGACUUAUUCUUAAAGGAUAAGUAGGUUGGAAAAGUAUCAAUCAGGAUGUAAAAACGAAUGUUUAAACCGGAAGAGGUGAUGAAAGUGCGUUGAAAGUGCGUUCUCUGUCUGUACUUGGAGACAGAAGAUUGAAAAUGAUAGCAGACGCGACGAGCACGAUGCGGAUGUUGGAGAGAAAAAAAGUGCGAAGAUGCGAUUCGUGAACUUAUUGGCUGAUCAAAGUGAACGGCUGGUAGUUGAGACAAGCGCGUCGUGCCUUCAGACGAAGGUACAUUCCACUCUUGAAGCUCUCCACUGAUACUGCGUUACUGAUCAGAGUGUCGCAGGUGUCGAAGUACGUGUACAGUUUGUCGAUAUUCACGGACUCGAAUUUCACACCUGGCACUUGCAAUUCGCUCUGAGAGUACUGGGGCAGGAAUCUCUUGUAUCUGCGUGAACAUAACGUGUAACAAUUAGUAAGAAGUAGAAAAUACAUCAAACUUUUCAAAUUAUUGUAAAGAGACUCGUCCACUUUAUCUGACUGGAAAACAAUUAUUAUGGAUAACAAAAUUUAGCUCUUCGUCGAGACUUCUGCUUGUAACGAUACAAAUACGUUAAUAACGAUCUGGUGUCGUUCGCACAUCUUUCUAACAUCUUCUAAACAGCCAACAUACCUGAAGAAAAGUCGAAGUUGAAGCCAAGGAUGUCACGUGCAAGUGCGUCGUACAUGCCGUAGAAUCUGGUGUUGCAGGAGUCUACAUUCCCUUCUAUCACGUUGCCGAGCAUGUUCAGACCUUCCGUGGCGGAUUUAACCCUCUGGCGGCCUGAAGUCAUCGUACCGAUCACGAUGUUUAAACCAAUAGGAAAUUAAUAUUUAGAGGUCCUUUGGUUAAUCUACCAAAUUUUAAUGUUCACCUAGACGGUGAAUAUCAUCUUCACGCGUAGUAAUUAAAAUACUCGCGACUUCAAGACUCUCCUGGUAAGCGUGUCUCGUUGGAGGACUUAAUUAUUUUCCACGCAUUUUAAAAAACGCAAGAACCCUCCGGAGAACGCUUCUGAAUGAGCACAUUGAAUGCUCGAUGGACGUUUCGAAUAUUCUAACUACUAUACGCGUUGAUUCAACGAACAUCGUCUUGGCCAAGCUAGAACUAUAUCCCAGUAUUUUAUGUAAUUCUGAUAAUCGUUUAAUAAUCUAAAAGCACUUUUGAGAGCCUCAUUAUAGUGUUUAUUAUUAGCGUCAAGACUGCCCCACUACGUUAGCUAACGCAAAGAGAGUUAUUUGAAUGGAAAAUUCUUCUAUGAUCUGGAAGCGAGUAAAUAUGCUAACCAGGCUCGGUAUGUUCCUCCAUCUACAUCAAUGAAACGAUAUUACGGUUAUUAGAGCGUCUUACUUAAUUUAGUAAUUCUUAUAUCGAUCCGCAAUCUUUUAAAUUAUUCUCCAUGCUGGCUUUCAUACUGAAUUAUUUUUAUACACAGAAUAUAUCUCUGUCAUUUCUUAAAUUUAAGUAUGAAUUUUUAAUCUGAUCAAAUGUAUCAAUCAAAUGUAUAUUAUAUAUGUAGCUUAAGAUAUCAAGUAAAAGUACGUCGAGUAUUGACAAAUUUCCUUACACGAACGAACGUAAGACGAUGUAAGCGAUAAAAAGGAUGCAAUGACACAAAUCCAUAGAAAUUUGUUAAAUUACUUCUAUUAACUAUAGGAACAAAAUAUAUAUAUUAAUAACGUGCAAAGUAAUUAAAACGGAUUGGCGUAUCUGUUUCUCACUUUUCUGUCGGUUCUUUUAUCUCAAUAAUAUUCAAUGUCGCAGACGAAUAUGUAAUUCACGGGUCAGUGAACAAGUAAAUAACAUUUGUCUCUUAAUUGCAGAGCGUGACGUGGAUCAAAGGCAAAAUACGAGCACGAAAAGUGUUAUUGUUUCAAUAGAUUAAUGUGAGAAUAACAGGCAUAUGGAAAAACACUAAAGUUAAUGGCAUGGAUUUCUCAGACUUUUACGGAACGGUAUGUUGAAUGUAAAAAAGAAAAAAAAAAAUAACUAUAUUUGUCGCGUAAUUUUUUUUUUUUUCUGUAAACGAAAUAGAAUUAUACUAUUUUGGAAAGCUUAUUAAUUAAUACGGUGGCCAUAUGAUAAAAAUGUUAUAAUAUUGUUUGGGUUAAGAAUAAUGUUGAAAUAGGAUUUAUCAGAAGUCAAACAUUUAUACGUACAUAAUCUUGUAAAUGGCAAAAUAAGAUUGUGUAAUAAAUAAAAGAAGAGGGAAGAUAAAAUGAGAAUAUUUUUCUGUGAGACUUAUACUACAAUAACAUUAUUUAUAUUUUAAUUAUUAUUUAUAAUAUUAUCUUAUAUUUAUUAUUCAUGUUUUAAUAUUAACAAAAUACAUUAACGAAAAUUAUACUUAAUUUGAUGCUUUUCGUUGAUUUAUUUUGUUAAUAUUAAAUCAUGGAUAGUGCGAAUAAAUAAUAUUAUGAAUAU